rnacentral:tRNA from 1 species
AAGGAUUUAAGUUAAAUCAAACUUGAAGCCUUCAAAGCUUCCAAUAAAGAGCAUUCAAUUCUUU